AGAGAAAUCAAAGGAGACCUUAGAAUAUGGAAAGAUCUGCCUUGAUCAUGGAUAGGCAGAAUUAAUAUUAUCAAAAUGACCAUACUACCAAUAGCACUAUACAGAUCUAUUACAAUUCCAAUCAACGUCCCAAUGGCAUUUCUCUUAGAAAUAGAAAAAACAAUCAUAAAAUUCAUCUGGAAAAGUAAGAGACCCACAAUAGCUAAAGCAAUCCUAAGCAGGAAGAGUGAAGCAAGUGUCAUCACUAUACCAGAACUUAAUCUAUACUACAGAGCCAUAGUAACAAAAACAACAUGGUAUUGGCACCAAAACAGACUGGAAGACCAAUGGUACAGAAUAGAGGACAUAUAGGCUAGCCCACAAAAUUACAAUUAUAUUAGACAAAGGUGCCAAACACAUGCACUGGAGAAAUGAUAGCAUCUUCAACAAAUGGUGCUGGGAAAACUAGAAAUCCAUACGCAACACAAUGAAAUUAAAUCCCUAUCUCUCACCAUGCACCAAACUCAACUCAAAAUGGAUCAAAGACCUAGGAAUUAAACCAGAGAUUCUGUGUCUAAUACAAGAAAAAGUAGGCCCUAAUCUCCAUCAUGUAGGAUUAGGCCCCAACUUCCUUAAAAAGAAUACUUUGAUGCAAGAAUUAAAAUCAAGAAUAAAUAAAUGGGAUGGAAUCAAACUACAAACUAGUUUUCUCUCAGCAAAAUAAAUAAUCUGUGAGGUGAACAGAGAGCCUACAUCCUGGGAGUAAGCUUUACCCCUCACACAUCAGAUAGAACACUAAUCUCUAGGGUAUAUAAAGAACUCAAAAAGCUAAACACUGAAAAAAACAAAUAACCCAAUCAAGAAAUGGGCCACAGACCUGAAUAGACACUUCUCAGAAGAGGAUAUACAAUCAAUCAACAAAUAUAUAAAAAAAUGCUCAUCAUCUCUAGCAAUCAGAGAAAUGCAAAUCAAAACUACUCUAAAAUAUCAUCCCACUCCAGUCAGAAUGGCAACUAUUAUGAUGACAAACAACAAGUGUUGGUGAGUAUGUUGGAGAAAAGGUACACUCAUACAUUGCUGGUGGGGCUUCAAAUUGGUGCAGCCAAUUUGGAAAGCAGUAUGGAGAUUCCUUGGAAAUCUGGAAGUGGAACCACCAUUUGACCCAGCUAUUCCUCUCCUUAGACUAUACUCAAAGGACUUAAAAACAGCAUUCUAGAGGGACACGCCAUAUCAAUGUUUAUAGCAGCACAAUUCACAAUAGCUAAACUAUGGAACUAAACUAGAUGCCCUUCAGUGGAUGAAUGAAUAAAAAAAAAUGUGGCAUAUAUACACAAUGGAAUAUUACUCAGCAUUAAAAAAAGGACAAAAUCAUGGCAUUUGCAGGUAAAUGGAUGGCAUUGUUGAAGACAAUGCUAAGUGAAGUUAGCC
rnacentral:lncRNA from 1 species